GAUGAACGCUGACAGAAUGCUUAACACAUGCAAGUGGUGGCGGACGGGUGAGUAACGCGUAGGUAACUGCCUGGCAGCGGGGGAUAACUAUUGGAAACGAUAGCUAAUACCGCAUACUACCAGAUGGAUCUGCGUUGUAUUAGGUAGUUGGGGAGGUAACGGCUCACCAAGGCAACGAUACAUAGCCGACCUGAGUGGGUGUACGGCCAAACUGGGACUGAGACACGGCCCAGACUCCUACGGGAGGCAGCAGUAGGGAAUCUUCGGCAAUGGGGGGAACCCUGACCGAGCAACGCCGCGGGAGAGAAGAAGGUUUUCGGAUCGUAAAGCUCUGUUGUUAAGGGAGCGGUACUUAACCAGAAAGGGACGGCUAACUACGUGCCAGCAGCCGCGGUAAUUC
rnacentral:rRNA from 1 species